GCCGCAGAGAAUAGGCUCAAGCAACUGUUUAGCAAAAACACAGGUCUAUGCGAAACCGUAAGGUGAUGUAUAUGGGCUGACGCCUGCCCGGUGCUGGAAGGUUAAGAGGAGAGGUUAGCUUCGGCGAAGCUUUGAAUCCAAGCCCCAGUAAACGGCGGCCGUAACUAUAACGGUCCUAAGGUAGCGAAAUUCCUUGUCGGGUAAGUUCCGACCCGCACGAAAGGCGUAAUGAUUUGAGCGCUGUCUCGACAAUGCACCCGGUGAAAUUGAAGUACCAGUGAAGAUGCUGGUUACCCGCGCCAGGACGGAAAGACCCCAUGGAGCUUUACUCCAGUUUGGUACUGGAGCCUGGUAUUGCAUGUACAGGAUAGGUGGGAGCUUAUGAACCUGGGACGCCAGUCUCAGGGGAGGCGCUGUUGGGAUACCACCCUUGCAAUAUCGGGUUUCUAACCAGCCGCCGUGAUCCGGCGGUGGGACAAUGCCAGGCGGGGAGUUUGACUGGGGCGGUCGCCUCCGAAAGGGUAUCGGAGGCGCUCAAAGUUUCCCUCAUAAUGGUCGGAAACCAUUAGAAGAGUGCAAAGGCAGAAGGGAGGCUGACUGCGACACCGACGGGUGGAGCAGGUACGAAAGUAGGACUUAGUGAUCCGGUGGCAUAAAGUGGGAUUGCCAUCGCUCAACGGAUAAAAGCUACCCUGGGGAUAACAGGCUUAUCACUCCCAAGAGUUCACAUCGACGGAGUGGUUUGGCACCUCGAUGUCGGCUCAUCGCAUCCUGGGGCUGUAGCAGGUCCCAAGGGUUGGGCUGUUCGCCCAUUAAAGCGGUACGCGAGCUGGGUUCAGAACGUCGUGAGACAGUUCGGUCCCUAUCCGGCGCGGGCGUAGGAUAUCUGAGGGGAGCUGGCCUUAGUACGAGAGGACCGGGCUGGACGGACCACUGGUGUACCGGCUGUCAUGCCAAUGGCAUCGCCGGGUAGCCAAGUCCGGAAGGAAUAAACGCUGAAGGCAUCUAAGCGUGAAGUCCCCCCCAAGAUGAGAUAUCCCAUCCUUUUAAAGGAGUAAAAACCCUUGAAGAGUACGAGGUAGAUAGGGCAGAGGUGGAAGUGUGGUAACACAUGGAGCUGACUGUUACUAAUCGUUUGAGGGCUUGACCAA
rnacentral:rRNA from 1 species